rnacentral:rRNA from 1 species
UACGAAGGGGGCUAGCGUUGCUCGGAAUCACUGGGCGUAAAGCGCACGUAGGCGGGUCCUUAAGUCAGGGGUGAAAUCCCGGAGCUCAACUCCGGAACUGCCUUUGAUACUGGGGAUCUUGAGUCCGGAAGAGGUGAGUGGAACUCCGAGUGUAGAGGUGAAAUUCGUAGAUAUUCGCAAGAACACCAGUGGCGAAGGCGGCUCACUGGCCCGGUACUGACGCUGAGGCACGAAAGCGUGGGGAGCAAACAGG